UACGGGGGGGGCAAGCGUUGUUCGGAAUUACUGGGCGUAAAGGGCUCGUAGGCGGCCAACUAAGUCAUACGUGAAAUCCCUCAGCUUAACUGGGGAACUGCGUGUGAUACUGGAUGGCUUGGAUUUGGGAGAGGGAUGCGGAAUUCCAGGUGUAGCGGUGAAAUGCGUAGAUAUCAAGAGGAACACCUGAGGUGAAGACGGGUUGCUGGGCCAACACUGACGCUGAGGCGCGAAAGCCAGGGGAGCAAACGGG
rnacentral:rRNA from 1 species